CUCUUUCUUUCCUGUUGGCUUGGAUUAGCAGAAACUCCUUUACUCUUGGGGUAAAGAAGGCUCUACCUUAUCAUUCAAUACUGAGCGUGCAGUUCUAACAAUGCACCAUGGUUGGAUAUGAAGGAUGAGAAGCCAAAUGACAAUACAGGCCCAUGCAGAACAUUCCUUAUGGCUGAAAAACCAUCACCAAAGCCCACCUCUGGGAGCUUGCCAAGAAAGGAUCCAAACACUGCUGUGUGACUGCAUCCACUACUGCCAGAAUCUGCAGCUGAAUCAAACUUUUAUCCGCUGACAGGCCUAAAAGAAUCUGCGCUGACCCUAGAGCACAUCUAUUCACCUCUUCCUAGGUCAAUUAAA